UUCGCAGGCUUAUUUUAAGCCUUUAUACGUCUUAUUUUUGUACAUAAAAUGGGAAUCCAUAGGUUUUAAAAAACCAGUGAAUAUUCCAAGCGACAAGUAUAUACAAUUUGUAGUAAUAACAAACGUGUUAUGAAGAACAGGUUUUCGUACACUCAAAAUGGCGUCGUCGUCAAAUAAAACAAAAUAUGGCUUCGUACAAUUGAUGAAAGUUUAUAGUCUUUAAUUCCAGCUUAGAAUUUAGAAGCAUAUCGUCUCGCAAGCCAGCUGCAAAAAUUUAGUAAAGCAAUUCUUACCGAUUCAACGGUAUCACCCUGGUGAAUUCUGAUGUUUAAAUGCGCUGUCGCUGAGGCUGGGAUUACAUUGUCCUAAACAGUUAUUGAAAGUGAUUCAUGACGAACCAUUGAUGGUGAUAAUAUUAUAUCAUGGCGAUGAUAAUGGUUGUGAUGACAGAAUGAUUACGAUGGUAUUGAUUAUAAAGGCAUUGAUGAGAAUGUUGACAUACACAUGAUUCAUAGAAUCAGCCCCCACCCCCACCCCCAGUUCCGGGUUCCGUCACGGAAUAGGUUUAUACAGAGUUGUUUCUACUGGUUCGUUUUGCCUGGACUCGAAUUGGUACGAUCUGCGCUUCAACGUGGCACUGACAGUGACGAUGAUCGAUGGUCAUGAUGAUAAUCAUGCUGAUAGUAAUAGAUGAUUAUGAUUUUUAUAAUGGUAUUGAAGAUAAUGGUAGCAUUUUUCUAAUAAAGAACCUGCCUUUGUUCCACCAUUAAUCUUUGUAACAGCAACAGUAGUUCGAACUAACGCGUUUGUUGUUACGUUUUUACUUAAAAUCCUAAAUAAAGGGGAAAAAAAUAGAUAUAGUGGCUAUAAAAUUGAUGUGAUUAGGUGUGAUGA